CCUACGGGAGGCAGCAGUGGGGAAUAUUGGGCAAUGGGCGCAAGCCUGACCCAGCAACGCCGCGUGAAGGAAGAAGGCUUUCGGGUUGUAAACUUCUUUUCUCAGGGACGAAGCAAGUGACGGUACCUUAGGAAUAAGCCACGGCUAACUACGUGCCAGCAGCCGCGGUAAUACGUAGGUGGCAAGCGUUAUCCGGAUUUACUGGGUGUAAAGGGCGUGUAGGCGGGGCCGCAAGUCAGAUGUGAAAACCACGGGCUCAACCCGUGGCCUGCAUUUGAAACUGUGCUGCUUGAGUACUGGAGAGGCAGACGGAAUUCCUAGUGGAGCGGUGAAAUGCGUAGAUAUUAGGAGGAACACCAGUGGCGAAGGCGGUCUGCUGGACAGCAACUGACGUUGAGGCGCGAAAGCGUUGGGAGCAAACAGGAUUAGAUACCCUGGUAGUC
rnacentral:rRNA from 1 species